rnacentral:rRNA from 1 species
UACGAAGGGGGCUAGCGUUGCUCGGAAUGACUGGGCGUAAAGGGCGUGUAGGCGGGAAGGAAAGUCAGAUGUGAAAUCCCUGGGCUCAACCCAGGAACUGCAUUUGAAACUCCCUUUCUUGAGUACCGGAGAGGAAGGUGGAAUUCCCGGUGUAGCGGUGAAAUGCGCAGAUAUCGGGAGGAACACCAAUGGCGAAGGCAGCUCGCUGGGACGUUACUGACGCUGAGACGCGAAAGCGUGGGGAGCAAACAGG